rnacentral:lncRNA from 1 species
AUCGCCUCCCUAUCCUCGUGCUGGCUCGAUCUCCACCACUGCUCUGUGACCGCCUCGCCUUGUCUUGUCCCAAGAUCCGAUGAGCCCGUCCUCUCUCCUCCUUGUCCUCCCUAGAUCGAGCUCCUGCUACCUCCUUAUCCUCCCUAGAUCGAGCUCCUGCUACUUGGAUCUGUGUGGUCCCCGACUUGCUUGUGCUAAUCCGUGCUUUGGUUUUGUAGAGACGGAUCCUGAAAGCUUCAACAACACGGUCGCUGAGAAGCAGGUUAGCUCAUUGCGCCAUUUUGGUUCUGUGCUGCCGUUUUGUUUGCAGGAUAACUCUCAAUAAAUUCUGUGAUUCAAUACUUAUUGAACAUUAGGGUCUGGCGGAACUUGGUUCGGGGGGAUUACUCAUCACUUGCCUGGUUGAAUUUGCGA